CAGCAGCACCAGCCGCAACUGAAGCAGCACCAGCCGCAACGGAUUUAGCAGUACAAAUCGCACCUGACGCAGCUACACCACCAGAUCAAACAACAGCAGGUUCAGCUGAUGCAGGAGCAACACAAGCCGCACCUGACGCAGCUACACCAGCAAAUCAAACAACAGCAGGUUCAGCAAGUUCAGGUUUAUUCAAUAUGAUUUUUUCAUUCAUAUGAAAAUUUACUUCACUGACUUAGCGGUGACAUCAAGUGGUGGUCCGUGUAAUGAUUGUACCGGAAAAGAACUGGACUGGAUAUACUGAGAUAUCAUCAGAAUACAGCAUCUUACAAAUUUUAAUUCUGAAUGUUUUAUGUAAUUGUGUCUGUGUAAAGAAAUUCUUCCUUUGUAUGUAUACUUGAUUUAAUCCCAAUAAAAUAGUUGUAAUUGUA